UCAGCGGCAAAGGAUGCAGAGCACUACAACGGUGCCUGUAGGGGACGCAACAUCGGUGGCUUUAGGGAGCGCAGGGAUUGCUGUUUGAGGACUCGCCUCCUCUGAUCCUCUCUUUUUUCCUAUGCAACGGAACAACUUCAGGAUCAAGAGCAGAACGAUGGAACGAUCUCUUUUGAAAGAUGUAUCCCACAUGUCUUAAUUUGUGCGGCUGGCUAGGAUAUGGGAAUUCAGGAGCACUGAUGCUUGCGCAUUAUGUGAGCUUGAUUUUGUUGUCGUCAAUCCAUCAGUCUUGGUAUUGAAUCAAUUCGAACAGUUAGGUACACUGUGUUAGGAAAAUUAGGUUUCUUUAUACUCGCAUAAUGGAUUACGGUAUAUUUUACUUUAGAGUGAUGGAUUUACUGUAUUUGAAUUUCUAAAUUAACAGCCAAGUAGUCAUUUUUUGGCACAUUAGUGGUUCUUUUUCAUAUGAUCGAUUGCAUUAUUUAUGUUUUAGCAUAUGGGUUCAAUGGUUAAUGGACGAACCUAUGUUCUGAUUGCAUUUUACUUGACAACUUUGAUUUGCAAUCAGAUCAAAAUACUUGGGUCAAAUCUAUAUUUUUAUCUCAAGUUUGAUUGCAUUUUAUUUGUCUUCCGUUCUCAAGUUUCCUUGCAAGUAUUUGGUCACCAUGUGUAUGUUUGCCCUGAACAUUUUUGGCCGUAUGUAGAAAUAAAGGGGUUCGCCCACAUACCAGUUUAUGUUCAGGUCCUAGCGUUGUUCGUAGAAUGAUCAAUAUGUUAGUGUUCUCAAAAUAUAGUCAAGCGGGGCAGUCCACCAUGAACAGAGCUGCCAUUGCGUCUCACGUUCGUGGUAGGUGGUCUAGCCCUUCCAGCAAUGCUGUGUUUGUGGCAUGAUAGGUCUCCAGGUUGUGAGUAGAGCCGUGGCCGCACUCUGUUCAAUAUUCUCUUCCUCCUGUUCCGCGUGCGAUUGAGGCGCCUUUGCAUACACAUGUCUCCUCACCACUGGUGGCUGCCAUGCCACCACUGUUGUCAUGGACUGGGGUGAGUUACUCCAACGCCAGCCCUUGCAGGUUGUUGAUUACAGCGGGAAAUUGGGGUCAAAGAUGGAAAUUUAAUUUUCACCUUUUGCUUGGAGGAAAUCUAUGUUCAGAUUUAGGUGAAUGCCGAAUCAUGUAGUUUCUUGUUUUCUAACGGUGGUAUCAUUGAAGCAUAUGUCGGUAUGAGUUAAAAUGUUAUCAUUGUACAUGGCCGGGUUUGGGAAAUUAUUUGCUGACUUCAUAAUAUAAGGAGAGAUACAGAAAUAGAGUUAUAUGUUUCUCCAGAUACAGAGUUUAUGCUUCUCCAAAGUGUCUAUCCAUAAGCCAUUGGUUGCAAGCAUGACUAUAUACUUUCUUCAGACUGUUGUUCAGGUCAAAAGUUUGUAAGGGUGUUCUAAUGCCUAUUAGAGUUCUUUUAUUUAGACGUGCUAAGACUAAACUGCAGGUAAUGUUUUCUAUUUAGAAACUGCAGUUGUAUGACCGGAUCAUCUGGAUAGGUAUUGUAGAUAUAGAUUCGGUUUUGUAAUAGCAUAUUUGAUCUUUGCCUUCCUAUAAUAAGUGUUUUCUUUGUCCAGCAAGAUUGAAAGUGGCAUGGACAUUCUUUAUGUAUUUUAGUUUGCAGAACAACAUAUAUAGAUUGGAGUUUUGAAGCCAAUGACAAAGGGGAUGAAACGUUUCUUCGGUGCUGAAAUACAUAGAUUUUGAUGUAACUCUACCAUUCAGUUACAUAUGCUACCUUUUCUUCUGCCUAGCAUAAGCAUGGCUAGGAGAGUAGGAUACCCUGAUCCCUUCUUCCAUUGAUUUUGUAAGUAUAUGUGAUUUACCUGGCCUUCAGAUUUAUAUUGUUUCACUAUCUACAUUCGUUUUUGUCUGAAAAAGUUUCUUUUCUGGAUUUCAGUUCAGGUGGUCAAAUUGACAUAUUUGGCCUUAUAAAUGAGCUACGUCAAAUUCUAUACGGAGUUCUCAAGAACUGCUUAUAACAAGCUGCGGAGAAGGUUUAGAGAGAUCAGCGGAAGAAAGAAAGCACAAAUUUCAACAAGCUAUGAAGGGUCUGAGGGUUAUCUCAUUUAUUUUACUAGGGAACGGUUCUUCACAUUCGCUAGAUAUGUUGCAUAAGCAACGAUUUCGAUCUUUUUACAUCGACUCCAUGAAUGCUUAUUUAUCGACUGAAUUUUUCAGCUCAUUACAACAUCAUAUCGACUUCUGAACAUUACAAGUUUCAACUA